rnacentral:rRNA from 1 species
GACGAACCGUGCAAACGUUGUUCGGAAUCACUGGGCUUAAAGGGCGCGUAGGCGGAUUGCCAAGUCAGGGGUGAAAUCUUUCGGCUUAACCGGAAAAUAGCUUUUGAUACUGGCAAUCUGGAGGGAGGUAGGGGCACGUGGAACUUCCGGUGGAGCGGUGAAAUGUGUUGAUAUCGGAAGGAACGCCGGUGGCGAAAGCGACGUGCUGGACCUCAUCUGACGCUGAGGCGCGAAAGCCAGGGGAGCGAACGGGAUUAGAUACCCUUGUAGU